rnacentral:lncRNA from 1 species
UUUUAAUGGUAUUUGGUGGAAAUAAGGUGUUGAAACAGAUUGGAGUUUGUGCUCGAUACUGGUUACACAAAUUUCCAUGCAUGCCUCUCCCUGUUUGCACAUAGUCUCAGGAGCAUGUGUGAAGGAAUCCUACAUCCUAGGCCAGAGCCAUGUUCUCUUUCUAGUCAUGUCAGCCUUCUCCUCUUAUCCAAGGACCUGUCCUAAGAAACACUCCGGGAAAUGGUAACAGAGGCCAUGAUUGCUUUAUUAAAAUUAAAAUACUCCGAAGAGUAAGCUAAGACUUAGUUAUUGUGUAUUUGAUACCUUGGUUAUAAAUACCUUUUGUGAUGUACAUAUUUUUAAAUAUUUUUAUGACACUUCAAGAAUAUUUUAUUUAUGGCCAGCAAGCUUGUUAUGUACAGUUAAAAUAUAGAAGGUGAGAUCAGGCAUGACUCCCAUCCAUGAUUCUAACACUUGGAAAGUUGAGGGAGGAGGAUUUCUAUAGAUUCAAGGCCAAUCUGGGCCAUGUAGUAAGCUCUAGGCCAGGCUGGUCUAUAGAGUAAGAUUGUCUCAAAACAAAAGAGGUGUGUGUGUUUGUGGGGGGGUUAUGCUUCUAGUCACGUGUAUGUGAAUAUGCGUGUGAAAGGGACUUUGGGUCCCAGUUUUGACUGCCUAGCUUCUUUGUUUCAUGGGCUCUGUUGGGAACUGCAGUGUUUGCUUAACCUUCUGCAUCUCCUCCUCCUUUGUGGCAAAAAUUCCUUUAGUUUCACUUUAUACCAUCAGAUUGAGUGAGUGUGCUUGCUUACUCUGCUGCUUAAUGAGCCAUCGCCCUGUUGGCUCACACUCAUUUCCUUCAGCAGUGUCUUUGUUGUGUCCCGGGGCCACACCACCCAUUUUCCUUUCCAGCGUUUUUUGUUUUUUUUUUGUUUUUUUUGUUUUUUUUUUUGUUUUGUUUUUUGGUGGAAUAGACUCUCAAAAUCAGAAUUUUGAGUUUGAAAGAGCAAACAUGUUGUGGGAAAUGUUAAAAAAAAAAAAAAAAAAAGGAACCGACGGGCUUCCUGUGCUACCACCAGCGACCAGCGGACCACAUGGCUCCAGCUGGGUGAUCUCAACUGGGCCGUCUCUCUAUUGGCCGGAGCUCCUGGGUUCCUUGGCAGAUCUUUGCCGCCAGGCCCACACAGUGUCCAUCCACUCCAUGGUCAGCCAUCACAACAUCCAUUUACCUAGUAGAAUCAGAACUCUUAAAACUUAAAACAAACCAAUCGGAUUUAUGUACCAAUAAAUUUUCUAUUUACAGGAUGCCAAUACAAUAAUUUCAGAGCCAGUUUGUCAUAGUCAGGGUUUCUAUUCCUGCACAAACAUCAUGACCAAGAAGCAAGUUGGGGAGGAAAGGGUUUAUUCAGCUUAUACUUCCAUACUGCUGUUCAUCACCAAGGAAGUCAGGACUGGAACUCAAGCAGGUCAGGGAGCAGGAGCUGAUGCAGAGGCCAUGGAGGAAUGUUCAUUACUGGCUUGCCUCCCCUGACUUGCUCAGCCUGCUCUCUUAUAGAACCAAGACUACCAGCCCAGAGAUGGUCCCACCCACAAGGGGCCUUUCCCCCUUGAUCACUAAUUGAGAAAAUGCCUUACAGCUGGAUCUCAUGGAGGCAUUUCCUCAACUGAAGCUCCUUUUUCUAUGAUAACACCAGCUGUGUCAAGUUGACACAAAACUAGCCAGUACACAGUUGAUAAUGAUAAAAGUUUUAUCCCAAUUAUUCUAACCUUAUGAUACCAUAUCUACCUGUGGGUGGUUCAAGCCACACUGAUUCAUGUCUGCCUCCAUUCUCCCCCUCUUCAGAAGCUGUCUCUGCAACACUUAGCUCCGCCUCCCUUUUCCCUGUCCAAUCACAGGCCUCCUCCUCACUAAUGUACUUGGACAGGGAAAUCCUUUGACUAAUCAUCCUUUCUGUUUAAUUAAAUUAAAAAAAAAAAACUUUUCUCUCAAAAUAUAAAUUGAGCACAGCUAUUACCAUGUUGUAACGUAUAAGGUAUAAGAUAGACCUAACACCCAGUCCAACAUUUUUGUCAAUAAAAUAAAACCCUGUCCUCUAUUCUAACUUAAAAGACUAUAAUUCUGCACCUGACUUCUGUCUUGAUUUCAGAUUGAAUGCCAUCUGAAAACUAUGCUCUCAAAUCUGUUCUCUCAAAGUAAAUAGCCUGGGUUGGCUAUGAGACUGUAAGUAGUUUUUCAACCCCGUCAGAAAUCUGAGAAGGACCAACAUAUCUGAAGAUAUAGGAAGCCUAGCGCAGCUUCCAGAACUGAGACAAAUUGCAGAGCCAGCUGCCCACCUAUACAGCCCCAGUAAGUCAGGAAGUUGGAGCAUCUGUCUGUCUUCAGCCUUCUGGCCCAGGAUCAUCUGACAGACCUUAGAGAUAAAGGAAUAUUAAAGACUAGCCUACUCUGUCUCGGCAAAACUAAGCUGCUCUAACCCGUAAAUUGUCUCCUUUCAAGAACAGUACAGGUCUGCAGGAGAGAUUGGCAAUUUUUUGCCCAGUGGCGACCUAGCCAUAAAUGUACAGCCUCACCUGGAGGUAAGAUGCUCAGUUGUUUCUUUGAGUCUGGCUAGCUCAGUCAGUAGAGCAUGGGUUUGUGCCUUGGCCCCAUCUGUUGCAGAAAAUAUUUAAAAAAAGAACCGGCAGGCUUUCCGCACUACCACUGGCAACUGGACGGACCACAUUGCUCCAGCCAGGUGAUCUCAACUUGGCCAUCUCACUCUUAGCUGGAGCUCCUGGGUCCAUUGGUGGAUCUUUGCCUUAAAUAUUAAAAAAUAAUAACAAUGUUUUUAUUAAUAAUAAAGAAACCAGCCAGGCAUGGUGGCACACGCCUUUAAUACCAGCACUCGGGAGGCAGAGUCAGGCAGAUUUCAGAGUUCGAGGCCAGCCUGGUCUACAAAGUGAGUUCCAGGACAGCCAGGGCUACGCAGAGAAACUCUGUCUUGAAAAGC